rnacentral:rRNA from 1 species
GCUGUAAGUAAGCUUUGAUCCAGAGAUUUCCGAAUGGGGAAACCCAGCAUGAGUUAUGUCAUGUUAUCGAUAUGUGAAUACAUAGCAUAUCAGAAGGCACACCCGGAGAACUGAAACAUCUUAGUACCCGGAGGAAGAGAAAGAAAAUUCGAUUCCCUUAGUAGCGGCGAGCGAAACGGGAAGAGCCCAAACCAACAAGCUUGCUUGUUGGGGUUGUAGGACACUCUAUACGGAGUUACAAAGGACGACAUUAGACGAAUCAUCUGGAAAGAUGAAUCAAAGAAGGUAAUAAUCCUGUAGUCGAAAAUGUUGUCUCUCUUGAGUGGAUCCUGAGUACGACGGAGCACGUGGAAUUCCGUCGGAAUCUGGGAGGACCAUCUCCUAAGGCUAAAUACUCUCUAGUGACCGAUAGUGAACCAGUACCGUGAGGGAAAGGUGAAAAGCACCCCGGAAGGGGAGUGAAAUAGAACCUGAAACCGUGUGCUUACAAGUAGUCAGAGCCCGUUAAUGGGUGAUGGCGUGCCUUUUGUAGAAUGAACCGGCGAGUUACGAUUUGAUGCAAGGUUAAGCAGUAAAUGUGGAGCCGUAGCGAAAGCGAGUCUGAAUAGGGCGUUUAGUAUUUGGUCGUAGACCCGAAACCAGGUGAUCUACCCUUGGUCAGGUUGAAGUUCAGGUAACACUGAAUGGAGGACCGAACCGACUUACGUUGAAAAGUGAGCGGAUGAACUGAGGGUAGCGGAGAAAUUCCAAUCGAACCUGGAGAUAGCUGGUUCUCUCCGAAAUAGCUUUAGGGCUAGCCUCAAGUGAUGAUUAUUGGAGGUAGAGCACUGUUUGGACGAGGGGCCCCUCUCGGGUUACCGAAUUCAGACAAACUCCGAAUGCCAAUUAAUUUAACUUGGGAGUCAGAACAUGGGUGAUAAGGUCCGUGUUCGAAAGGGAAACAGCCCAGACCACCAGCUAAGGUCCCAAAAUAUAUGUUAAGUGGAAAAGGAUGUGGCGUUGCCCAGACAACUAGGAUGUUGGCUUAGAAGCAGCCAUCAUUUAAAGAGUGCGUAAUAGCUCACUAGUCGAGUGACACUGCGCCGAAAAUGUACCGGGGCUAAACAUAUUACCGAAGCUGUGGAUUGUCCUUUGGACAAUGGUAGGAGAGCGUUCUAAGGGCGUUGAAGCAUGAUCGUAAGGACAUGUGGAGCGCUUAGAAGUGAGAAUGCCGGUGUGAGUAGCGAAAGACGGGUGAGAAUCCCGUCCACCGAUUGACUAAGGUUUCCAGAGGAAGGCUCGUCCGCUCUGGGUUAGUCGGGUCCUAAGCUGAGGCCGACAGGCGUAGGCGAUGGAUAACAGGUUGAUAUUCCUGUACCACCAUUAUUCGUUUUAAGCGAUGGGGGGACGCAGUAGGAUAGGCGAAGCGUGCGAUUGGAUUGCACGUCUAAGCAGUAAGGCUGAGUAUUAGGCAAAUCCGGUACUCGUUAAGGCUGAGCUGUGAUGGGGAGAAGACAUUGUGUCUUCGAGUCGUUGAUUUCACACUGCCGAGAAAAGCCUCUAGAUAGAAAAUAGGUGCCCGUACCGCAAACCGACACAGGUAGUCAAGAUGAGAAUUCUAAGGUGAGCGAGCGAACUCUCGUUAAGGAACUCGGCAAAAUGACCCCGUAACUUCGGGAGAAGGGGUGCUCUUUAGGGUUAACGCCCAGAAGAGCCGCAGUGAAUAGGCCCAAGCGACUGUUUAUCAAAAACACAGGUCUCUGCUAAACCGUAAGGUGAUGUAUAGGGGCUGACGCCUGCCCGGUGCUGGAAGGUUAAGAGGAGUGGUUAGCUUCUGCGAAGCUACGAAUCGAAGCCCCAGUAAACGGCGGCCGUAACUAUAACGGUCCUAAGGUAGCGAAAUUCCUUGUCGGGUAAGUUCCGACCCGCACGAAAGGCGUAACGAUUUGGGCACUGUCUCAACGAGAGACUCGGUGAAAUCAUAGUACCUGUGAAGAUGCAGGUUACCCGCGACAGGACGGAAAGACCCCGUGGAGCUUUACUGUAGCCUGAUAUUGAAAUUCGGCACAGCUUGUACAGGAUAGGUAGGAGCCUUUGAAACGUGAGCGCUAGCUUACGUGGAGGCGCUGGUGGGAUACUACCCUAGCUGUGUUGGCUUUCUAACCCGCACCACUUAUCGUGGUGGGAGACAGUGUCAGGCGGGCAGUUUGACUGGGGCGGUCGCCUCCUAAAAGGUAACGGAGGCGCUCAAAGGUUCCCUCAGAAUGGUUGGAAAUCAUUCAUAGAGUGUAAAGGCAUAAGGGAGCUUGACUGCGAGACCUACAAGUCGAGCAGGGUCGAAAGACGGACUUAGUGAUCCGGUGGUUCCGCAUGGAAGGGCCAUCGCUCAACGGAUAAAAGCUACCCCGGGGAUAACAGGCUUAUCUCCCCCAAGAGUUCACAUCGACGGGGAGGUUUGGCACCUCGAUGUCGGCUCAUCGCAUCCUGGGGCUGUAGUCGGUCCCAAGGGUUCAGAACGUCGUGAGACAGUUCGGUCCCUAUCCGUCGUGGGCGUAGGAAAUUUGAGAGGAGCUGUCCUUAGUACGAGAGGACCGGGAUGGACAUACCUCUGGUGUACCAGUUGUCGUGCCAACGGCAUAGCUGGGUAGCUAUGUGUGGACGGGAUAAGUGCUGAAAGCAUCUAAGCAUGAAGCCCCCCUCAAGAUGAGAUUUCCCAACUUCGGUUAUAAGAUCCCUCAAAGAUGAUGAGGUUAAUAGGUUCGAGGUGGAAGCAUGGUGACAUGUGGAGCUGACGAAUACUAAUCGAUCGAAGACUUAAUCAA